GGAAGGAGCGGAAUGUUCCAUUUUUCCGUGGAAUAACGGGGUCGUGAACUGAAGUCUGGGUGCUGCCCGCGCCUGCCGUCCUCCCUUCUUGCCGCGGCCUCUUCGGCCUCCCUUCGAGGCCUUCCCCAGGGGAGAAGAUAGAGGGGAACAAUAUCUCACAGCACACUAGCCUGCCUUGUGCACUGGUCAGGAAAGCAAAGGAUCAUCUUCAGCUUCACUCUGAUAUCAGGAACCCACAGAUGUAGCCACACCUUGAAGCCAGUCAUCAGAUGAAAUUACUCCAUCUGCAAAACUUUGGCUUGAAAGGCCAUGUGGGGACUCAGUGAGAAGACAGCCAUCUGCAAGCCAGGAAGAGAGCUCUCACCGGAAGCUGAGUAGACCGGCACCUUGAUCUUGAACU